rnacentral:rRNA from 1 species
UACGUAGGGGGCUAGCGUUGUCCGGAAUCAUUGGGCGUAAAGCGCGCGUAGGCGGUCAGGUAAGUCCGGUGUGAAAGUCAUAGGCUCAACCUAUGAAUGCCGCUGGAAACUGCCUGACUUAGUCCGGAAGGGGCGAGUGGAAUUCCUGGUGUAGCGGUGAAAUGCGUAGAGAUCCGGAAGAACACCAGUGGCGAAGGCGGUUGCCUGGAGCUUUGCUGACGCUGAGGCGCGAAAGCGUGGGGAGCAAACAGG